UGGGGAAUAUUGGACAAUGGGGGCAACCCUGAUCCAGCAAUGCCGCGUGUGUGAAGAAGGCCUGAGGGUUGUAAAGCACUUUCAGUGGGGAGGAGGGUAAUUUGGUUAAGAGCUGAGUUAUUGGACGUUACCCACAGAAGAAGCACCGGCUAACUCCGUGCCAGCAGCCGCGGUAAUACGUAGGGACCAAGCGUUGUUCGGAUUUACUGGGCGUAAAGGGCGCGUAGGCGGCAUGACAAGUCACUUGUGAAAUCUCUGGGCUUAACCCAGAACGGCCAAGUGAUACUGUCGCGCUAGAGUGCAGAAGGGGCAAUCGGAAUUCUUGGUGUAGCGGUGAAAUGCGUAGAUAUCAAGAGGAACACCUGAGGUGAAGACGGGUUGCUGGGCUGACACUGACGCUGAGGCGCGAAAGCCAGGGGAGCAAACGGGAUUAGAUACCCCGGUAGUCCCUGAGCGGGCUGGCAAGGCGCAU
rnacentral:rRNA from 1 species